CAUAGGCCAUGGGAUCUGGAAUGACCCAUGGCUCAAAGUUCCGGCGCUAUAGGAUCGGUCUGCGGCCUAUCAGGUAGUAGUGGGUGUAACGUACCCCCUAGCCAUUGACGGGUAUGGGCCUUGAGAGAGGGAGCCCAGAGUUGGAUUCUGAGACACGAAUCCAGGCCCUACGGGGCGCAGCAGUCGCGAAAACUUCACAAUGGGCGAAAGCCCGAUGAGGGAAUUCCAAGUGCGUAUACAUUAGUAUACGCUUUUGUUCAGCGUAGAUAACUGGACGAAUAAGGGCUGGGUAAGACGGGUGCCAGCCGCCGCGGUAAUACCCGCAGCCCGAGUGGUGGUCGAUUUUAUUGAGUCUAAAACGUUCGUAGCCGGUCUAGUAAAUCUCUGGGUAAAUCGGGUGGCUCAACUAUCCGAAUUCCGGAGAGACUGCUAGACUUGGGAUCGGGAGAGGUAAGAGGUACUUCAGGGGUAGGGGUAAAAUCCUGUAAUCCUUGGAGGACCACCGGUGGCGAAGGCGUCUUACUAGAACGAAUCCGACGGUGAGGGACGAAGCCCUAGGUCGCAAACGGGAUUAGAUACCCCGGUAGUCUAGGGUGUAAACGCUGCAGACUUGGUGUUGGGGACCCUUCGUGGGUAUUCAGUGCCGGAGAGAAGUUGUUAAGUCUGCUACUUGGGGAGUACGUCCGCAAGGAUGAAACUUAAAGGAAUUGGCGGGGGAGCACCGCAACGGGAGGAGCGUGCGGUUUAAUUGGAUUCAACACCGGAAAACUCACCAGGGGAGACCAUCACAUGAAGGCCAGGCUGAUGACUUUGCCUGAUUCUUGGAGAAGUGGUGCAUGGCCAUCGUCAGUUCGUACUGUAAAGCGUUCUCUUAAGUGAGAUAACGAACAAGACCCUCACUUGCAAUUGCUACUUCGAUCUCCGGAUCGGAGGCACAUUGCCGGGACCGCUGACGCUAAGUCAGAGGAAGGGGAGGUCAACGGUAGGUCAGUAUGCCCUGAAUCUCCUGGGCUACACGCGCGCUACAAAGGGCGGGACAAUGGGUCCCGACGUCGAAAGGCGGAGGUAAUCUCGAAACCCGUCCGUAGUUCGGACUGAGGGUUGUAACUCACCCUCACGAAG
rnacentral:rRNA from 1 species